CAGUCGCCGCGGGAAUACGUAUGGUGCAAGCGUUAAUCGGAAUUACUGGGCGUAAAGCGUGCGCAGGCGGUUAUAUAAGACAGAUGUGAAAUCCCCGGGCUCAACCUGGGAACUGCAUUUGUGACUGUAUAGCUAGAGUACGGCAGAGGGGGAUGGAAUUCCGCGUGUAGCAGUGAAAUGCGUAGAUAUGCGGAGGAACACCGAUGGCGAAGGCAAUCCCCUGGGCCUGUACUGACGCUCAUGCACGAAAGCGUGGGGAGCAAACAGGAUUAGAUACCCCGGUAGUCCCUGUCUCUUAUAC
rnacentral:rRNA from 1 species